AAACUCAACCUGCCAAAGACGAUGAUGGUGCACUUCUACACGGCCAUCAUCGAGUCCAUCCUCUGCUCCUCCAUCCCCGUCUGGUCCUUCUCUGACUUGUGUUUUACUCCAGGUUGCUCUGGUUUUCAAAAAAAAAAAUGGUGGAGGAGAGGAGAGAAGGGGAGUGGAUUUUGCCACUAGAUCGUCGGAGGUAGACGCCCUUCUCUAUGUGGUUUUCUCCCGGUGCUCGGGUUUUCAAAAAAUGUUAUUUCAUGUUUUAUAUCUGUUUGUGUCAUAGGAAGCUCGCCCAUGAAUAAUCGUGUAAGUCAGCGGUCGGGAACCUAUGGCUCUUCCGGUGACUGCAUAUGGCUCCCAGUUGAAAAAAAAAAAAAAAAUCAGUUUGGAACUGAUUUUAAAAUACUUAAACAAAAAUAGACGUUUACUGUGCAUUUCAGGCUGUGUGGACAGAGGAAUUUGCACUUGUGGACAGAGCAGGAUCUGCGGUAUGUCUAAUAUGCAAUCAUAAAAUUGCAUCGAUGAAACGGUCAAAGAUAAAGCGGCACUUCGAUACGCACCAUGCUUCAUUCGCAUCGAAAUAUCCAGAGUGUCUCAUGAGUGUGCAGUGACAAUUACCGACCUGACAUCCAUCUACGGCGGCAAAUCCCUGUCAAAAUUCGAGAGCGCAAAUCGAGUUGAUGCGCGCGCGUAAAUCAAACAUCCGCGAGCAAAAGUUUGUCCCCCGCGAGAUACUUGCUCGCUUGCGGAACGUGAACUUUGUUGCUCGCGAGGUUAACCUCUGCUCGUGCUCGAAGGUGUUUUCUAUGGUUGCUUAUGCUUAUGAAGUCACAUAAGCAUUAUCAGAAACAAACAACAGACAGGUUGAGCAGACACAUUUUGACCAGAAAAUACCCAGGGCCCAAUAGGUGUAUGUAACCACCCCCAGACAAAAGCAUCUAUUUAGGUAUUUGGGGGAAUUUUUAAACAACUUUGUUGCAGUACGUGGUUACAGAGAGUUUUAGAUACUCUUGUCUACAAGGAUCCUAUUUUGCCACCCUGAGCGACGAUGGAACACCUUGGUGGUGAGUAGUGUGUUUUAUUGUUGAUUACGUGUUUUAGUAAAACAAGCAUUAUACUUACAAGUAUAUAUUCAUUAAGGUUUCUCAACGAUAUGACAGUCCAGAGGGGGGUUAACCAUCUAAAGCAUCGAUGAGGUCUAGUGAUUUUAUAAUUGUUUCAUUUUCUCCAUCUUAACGUAUUUAAAUUGUAUUUACAUGUAUGCAAAUAUCUUUUAGAAAGCGACUGCAGACAGCCUUCCACCAUCUUUAGGAUCCUAACUACAAAAAGCGUGGAAACAGGCCUGCAGACCGAGCUAAGAAACCUUCAAGAAAUACAAAAACAACUCGCAACAAGCAUUGAGUGGCUUACCACAACCCUCAACAAGUAAGCCGUCCUUGGAUGGGUGUUCUCCAAAAGGACCAAAGUGGGUUAAACCCACAAUAAAAACGCCUGCGAUAGAGUCCACAUCCAAGGACAUGUGGGGAGGAAUUGAAGUUUUUAUUGGCCGAUAUAGCAACAUUUUAGGUCUUUAUCUACAUUAUAUAACAUUCAAAAAUGUUUUCUACUCAGGGCUGUGGUAUCCAUCAGAAGGCCCCGCGGUGUUUAAACCUCCAAUAAAAAGGCCCGCGUUAGCUCCCACCCGUCAGGACACCAGGGGAGGUCUAUAGUUUCCUCCCAAACAGGCACGAGGUGAUAAACACAUGCAAAAGGUUAAACACACAAAAGGUUAAAAGACAGCCUUUGGCGGCGUGGACUACACCGAAUGAAGAGCCGGAACUUUUUACCUCAAGAUACGACGACCUAAUAAGCGAUGAGGAAUUAAUACGCCGUGUUGAGGACCUCGAAUCGGACCUGAGAGGAGGCGAGACCAGAAGGCUGUAGGUGAGCAGAGAGAGGACGCUGCGCUGGUUGUACCGAAUGCCGAAGAGAAUGACUGAC